CUGGAGUCCACUGGUAGGAAAGGGUUGCUCCAGAGGCAACACCAAGCAGGACUUUAACUUCCCUGGCGGGGAGGCACUCUGCCAUAUCAGAGAGGCUUUGCAACCAGCCCCCACCCCAGUUAUGUCUCCACCAGUCUCACUCUAUUUAUCAGGUAUAAGGAAUCGGGAGGCACGCCAAAGUACAGGAAGGGUUUUUAGUGGCUGCAAGACAGCGCUGGAGAUGACCCAGCUGCCAUGGUGCUCUGGAGACAACUGGGAAUGAAAGUCUGUCUGGCUCCACCUGUGUCCAGCACGUGGCAGUCAUCUGCUUGCAGGGGACAGUUCCGAUCAUCCCUAACCAAUCCAGCCACAGUUGGAGGAGACAUAGCAUCUGGUCCCUGCUUAGAACUACUUCCUCAGUGAAUGAAGGACCGGGACUCAAGGUAAAUUCUCAGUCAAUAAAGCGUAGCUCUUCGUGGACCAGUUACUUUUGUGUUAAUAAUGACACAGGAGAAUGGAGUAAGCAGGACAUCUGUGGAAUCAGAUUCUCUUCCCUUUGGGGGUGGGGAUUGGAGUGCAUGUUUCCUAUGACCCCUAAUUCUGGAAACUCCUGACCAAAGAGGCUGCAAGGUUCAUUACACACAUGUGGGUCACACUGUUGCCUCAUCAGCCACAGUUGUAGCCUCACAGUGGAACUGGGGUCAAGAUCCUGAGAGCACCAUUCAGGUCACUUAACGUUUCCGAAGGACCAAGUGGCAAUGUAGGCCCCGCAACUAUGUGUCCAGACGAUGGACAGUUGAAUGACAUCAGGCUGCUAGUGGAGUCUCUGACACUG
rnacentral:lncRNA from 1 species